AUUGAACGCUGGCGGCAGGCCUAACACAUGCAAGUCGAGCGGAUGAAGGGAGCUUGCUCCUGGAUUCAGCGGCGGACGGGUGAGUAAUGCCUAGGAAUCUGCCUGGUAGUGGGGGAUAACGUCCGGAAACGGGCGCUAAUACCGCAUACGUCCUGAGGGAGAAAGUGGGGGAUCUUCGGACCUCACGCUAUCAGAUGAGCCUAGGUCGGAUUAGCUAGUUGGUGGGGUAAGGGCCUACCAAGGCGACGAUCCGUAACUGGUCUGAGAGGAUGAUCAGUCACACUGGAACUGAGACACGGUCCAGACUCCUACGGGAGGCGGCAGUGGGGAAUAUUGGACAAUGGGCGAAAGCCUGAUCCAGCCAUGCCGCGUGUGUGAAGAAGGUCUUCGGAUUGUAAAGCACUUUAAGUUGGGAGGAAGGGCAGUAAGUUAAUACCUUGCUGUUUUGACGUUACCAACAGAAUAAGCACCGGCUAACUUCGUG
rnacentral:rRNA from 1 species